rnacentral:rRNA from 1 species
UACGGAGGGUGCGAGCGUUGUCCGGAUUUAUUGGGUUUAAAGGGUGCGUAGGUGGCCAGUUAAGUCAGUGGUGAAAUACAGCCGCUCAACGGUUGAGGUGCCAUUGAUACUGAUUGGCUUGAAAUAAUUGGAGGCUGCCGGAAUGGAUGGUGUAGCGGUGAAAUGCAUAGAUAUCAUCCAGAACACCGAUUGCGAAGGCAGGUGGCUACGAUUUGUUUGACACUGAGGCACGAAAGCAUGGGGAGCAAACAGG